rnacentral:rRNA from 1 species
CCUACGGGUGGCAGCAGUUGGGAAUAUUGGACAAUGGGCGCAAGCCUGACCCAGCCAUGCCGCGUGAGUGAUGAAGGCCUUAGGGUUGUAAAGCUCUUUUGUCCGGGACGAUAAUGACGGUACCGGAAGAAUAAGCCCCGGCUAACUUCGUGCCAGCAGCCGCGGUAAUACGAAGGGGGCUAGCGUUGCUCGGAAUCACUGGGCGUAAAGGGCACGUAGGCGGCCAUUUAAGUCGGGUGUGAAAUGCUGUGGCUCAACCACAGAAUUGCCUUCGAUACUGGGUGGCUUUAGUCCUGAAGAUGUUGGUGGAACUGCGAGUUUAGAGGUGAAAUUCGUAGAUAUUCGCAAGAACACCGGUGGCGAAGGCGGACAACUGGUCCGGACCUGACGCUGAGGCGCGAAAGCUUGGGGAGCAACCAGGAUUAGAUACCCCUGUAGUC